rnacentral:rRNA from 1 species
UGGGGAAUAUUGCACAAUGGGCGAAAGCCUGAUGCAGCAAUGCCGCGUGUGUGAAGAAGGCCUGCGGGUUGUAAAGCACUUUCGGUAGGGAAGAUAAUGACGGUACCUACAGAAUAAGCACCGGCUAACUUCGUGCCAGCAGCCGCGGUAAUACGAAGGGUGCAAGCGUUACUCGGAAUUACUGGGCGUAAAGCGUGCGUAGGUGGUCGUUUAAGUCCGUUGUGAAAGCCCUGGGCUCAACCUGGGAACUGCAGUGGAUACUGGACGACUAGAGUGUGGUAGAGGGUAGCGGAAUUCCUGGUGUAGCAGUGAAAUGCGUAGAGAUCAGGAGGAACAUCCAUGGCGAAGGCAGCUACCUGGACCAACACUGACACUGAGGCACGAAAGCGUGGGGAGCAAACAGGAUUAGAUACCCUUGUAGUCCCUGAGCGGGCUGGCAAGGCGCAU